rnacentral:rRNA from 1 species
AGGAGAGUUUGAUCCUGGCUCAGGACGAACGCUGGCGGCGUGCCUAACACAUGCAAGUCGAACGGAACUACUAGGAAGGAUCUCUUCGGAGAAACGGAAUUUUAGUUUAGUGGCGGACGGGUGAGUAACGCGUGAGUAACCUGCCUUUGAGAGGGGAAUAACGUUCUGAAAAGAACGCUAAUACCGCAUAACAUAUAUUGAUCGCAUGGUCGGUAUAUCAAAGAUUUUAUCGCUCAAAGAUGGACUCGCGUCCGAUUAGCUUGUUGGCGGGGUAACGGCCCACCAAGGCGACGAUCGGUAGCCGGACUGAGAGGUUGAACGGCCACAUUGGGACUGAGACACGGCCCAGACUCCUACGGGAGGCAGCAGUGGGGGAUAUUGCGCAAUGGGGGCAACCCUGACGCAGCAACGCCGCGUGAAGGAUGAAGGUUUUCGGAUUGUAAACUUCUUUUGUCAGGGACGAAAUUUGACGGUACCUGACGAAUAAGCUCCGGCUAACUACGUGCCAGCAGCCGCGGUAAUACGUAGGGAGCAAGCGUUGUCCGGAUUUACUGGGUGUAAAGGGUGCGUAGGCGGCUAAGCAAGUCAGAUGUGAAAUCUAUGGGCUCAACCCAUAAACUGCAUUUGAAACUGCAUAGCUUGAGUGAAGUAGAGGCAGGCGGAAUUCCCCGUGUAGCGGUGAAAUGCGUAGAGAUGGGGAGGAACACCAGUGGCGAAGGCGGCCUGCUGGGCUUUAACUGACGCUGAGGCACGAAAGCGUGGGUAGCAAACAGGAUUAGAUACCCUGGUAGUCCCCU